rnacentral:rRNA from 1 species
CCCAGAUAGGCAGGGGCNCAAUUUCUUUCUAGAUACACGUGAUUACCCAAGGGUGCGCUUCCCACAGGGGAGCGCACUGGUUGCGCUCUUUACCGCUGCAGACCCGCAAGAUCUGUGGUCGACAUGUUUCUGUUUUUUGCGAAGCUGAUGUAUCGGUAUAUUGUUCUUUUUCCACCUCUUAGGUGUUGUGGUUUUCUUUCCGCCCCCGCAGGUGUGUAUUUUUUUCCCNCAANGGCCCCNUCUUCUUUNGGGGGGGGCUGCGGAAGGAUCAUUACUGUGAUUUACUACUACACUGCGUGAGCGGAACGAAAACAACAACACCUAAAAUGUGGAAUAUAGCAUAUAGUCGACAAGAGAAAUUUACGAAAAAACAAACAAAACUUUCAACAACGGAUCUCUUGGUUCUCGCAUCGAUGAAGAGCGCAGCGAAAUGCGAUACCUAGUGUGAAUUGCAGCCAUCGUGAAUCAUCGAGUUCUUGAACGCACAUUGCGCCCCUCGGCAUUCCGGGGGGCAUGCCUGUUUGAGCGUCGUUUCCAUCUUGCGCGUGCGCAGAGUUGGGGGAGCGGAGCGGACGACGUGUAAAGAGCGUCGGAGCUGCGACUCGCCUGAAAGGGAGCGAAGCUGGCCGAGCGAACUAGACUUUUUUUCAGGGACGCUUGGCGGCCGAGAGCGAGUGUUGCGAGACAACAAAAAGCUCGACCUCAAAUCAGGUAGGA